ensembl:lncRNA
CCAGCACUGGGUACUGUCUCCAGGUGCUGUUUUGCUACCCGCAGGCUGAGUCCUUAUCUGCUGUAUGCAUCAAUGCAGCUGGCGUGUUGUAUCUGAGAGAACUUUGGCUGUACAGGAGCAGUUAUUUAGCAGAGGCUUUCCAGUGGUCUUGUCCUUCAUUUCCACUGCUCCAGUUGGCUUAUUGCUUUUGCUUAACUGCUUCUGAACUCUUUCAUGAUAGCAGAUAUAUAGCCAGUGUCAUCUGACAGAUUUCUAGGCAUCUCUGUUGUAAACAUUUUCUGAGGUCUGGAGCUGUGUGUGGGGGUGUUUCCCUGAGGAAGUUGCCAGCAAAGUGAGUACUGCUGAGCUGAGUGCAGCACUUCUCGCUGGAGCACAUCUGUCGAGUUUGUAACGCUGAGAAGAGCUGUGUAUUCCCUACCAUCCCAACCGUGCAUGCCAGGCAGAUGAGCACAUCUUUUAAUGAAUUAUC